rnacentral:lncRNA from 1 species
GCGCCCAUACUUCGUCGCCUGGGUCGCGCCCAUACUUCACCGCCAGGGUUGCGCCCUUGGUUCGCCGUCGGGGUCGUGCCCUUGCUUCUUAGCCGGGUCGCCCGCUUGCUUCGCCGCUGGGUCGCCCCCUUUGCUUCACCACCGGCUCGCACCCUUACUUCGCCUCAGGGUCGCCCACUUGGUUCGCCGCCGGAGUCCUUGCUUCUCAGCCUGGUCGCCCACUUGCUUCACCACCGGGUCGCGCCCUUGCUUCGCCACCAGGUCACGCACUUGGUUUGCUGCCGGGAUCGUGCACUUGCUUCGCCGCCGGAGUCACGAGCUUGCUUCGCCUCUGGGGUUGCGCUCGCGCCCUUGCUUUGUCGCCUAGCUUCGCCGGAGCCCUAGAUGUCG